UGUCAUUCUUAAAAAUGGGGAACGAAAUAGAAGUAAUUUCGUCUUUGUGUAUAUGCAUCUUCGAGAGUCAUUUGGAAGAUGAGGAACUCUCAAGAUGGAUCUUGAUCUGAUGUUUUCUCCGUUAGUAAUUAUAAAUGUUUGUUGCAGUUACAUCUUACAAAAGCCUGGCCAAAAGGGAAUUAAUUUGUGGUUCUUUUCACUGUGAACUGAUCUUGUGUUCAAGGCAUUGAUCAGCUAACAUUCUUGCAUCAAGGAUUUUCACGUUGUCACCUUCAACUUUUACCUGCGACUGCUUCAGUUGACGUGCCCAAAGGAUUGUCAUGGAAGCUGCUUCCUCCUCUAUGCUUUUUUUGUGCUUGCUUCAAAACUUCUGCAUCUUGCUUCAGAGAACUUUCCUGUAGGGGUGUAAAUAAUACCCGAAAAUACUCGGCCUGCCUGUACCCGCUUGACCCUGCCUGUACCCGAAGUAGCU